GGGGGUCCUUUGCACUUGCUCUGGGUGCUGUGUGUCCCCCCGAUGACACAGCUCUCUGCUCGGUGUGAGCUCAGAGCAGCAGCCCCAGGCACCCCACUUGCAAACUCCUGAGGUGCAUCCCGUGGCUACCUGCUGCCAGGCCCUGCACAGGUGUCACUUUGCCCUCCCUCCGCCCUCCUCCUGCUCCCAGGUGGUGAAAUCCCAUGUCUGGCCUCUCCUGGGUCUCCCACCCUGCACCCCGGCAGUCCAGAACCUCCCCUUUAGCAGUGCACCCUGCCAGUCUCCAGUCUUGCCUGCACCUUGCCACGACUUCCACACCAGGCCCCAGAGGCCUAGAGGCCUCCCUCAAACAGGGAGUCCACAGCUCUCAGGAUCCCGUGCAAAGUCCUCAGCCUGCAGGGUUCUCCACUCCACCCCCGACCCACACACCCACACAUGCUCUCCUAGGACUGCUCCCAUGCCAGGUGCCCUCCCCAGGCUCUGCCCUGGCUUCUUCCUUGUGGUCUGGCCCAGCCCCUGCCACUCCAAGGGCAGAACUGUCUUAGCCCCUCUGCUGUAGUCAGAGCUCAGCACCUGGCACAGAACCUGCCUUUGAGUCAUCUCUGUCACUAAACUGGGAGCAGCUGAGAGAUAGGUAGGGGACUCUAGCAGCCUGUCCAGCUAUCUUGACAUGCCAGUAGCCCUGUCCCCAGGCCAGCAAGCCAAAUGGAAGCAUGUCCCUCCAGAGAUUGCUCCCAGAUACAGGGGAUCACAGAGCAGGGCAGACAGGUGGCAAGGGACUCAGAGGGGUGCUGACAGGGCAGGAGAGAGGAGCAGAGUCCAGCCGUGGUCAGAGCUGGUCCUCCAAGGCACCUGCUCCUCCUUGCCACUACACCUCCUCCUCCAAGCAUCUGCUCCCAGGAAGCCCUCCGUGGGGACUUCACCACAAAAUACCCUCACACCUCGCACCUUGCAGGUACUGUGAGCCCCUGACUGUCUUAGCACACAUUCCUCCCCAGUGCCCAGCCAGCCCAUGCGUCAUGAACAGAGGUCACAGCUGGAGGAGGGCAGAGAGGCGAAGUGAUCGGUUAGUUCCUUUGCCCCAAAUGGCCCACCUCUUCACAGUGGGAAAGCCUUGCUCGCUCCAUGCUGGUCUGUUUGCCCUGAGCCCCAAGCUCUGGGAGAUUGAGGACAUAGGACUGUCCCCAGAGGCAGGUACAGCCCAACGUGAGUCACUACUGCGCUAUCACAGGUCUUGCCUCUACUCAGCGGUGAGUCUGUUCAUUGGUUGAGAGUUAAUGAGUGUGUCCAUGGCAACUUCUCAGAGGAGCCGGAAGCUGUGAUGAGGACCAGCGCCCACUGAGGAGAGCAAGGGGGGAGGUGUAGAGAGCUGGACGCAGCUCCCAGGAUGAGGCAGGUGGGCUGUGCAUGGGGUGCGCUUGCCAGGCUGUGCCCAACCUGGCCCCACCCUGGCUGUGUCCUCUUCCUGGCCUUGUGCUGGGGUGAGGGUCUGUGAUGGGUGGAGCUUAGGUUUGGGGCAAGGUGAAGAGUGGGAUCUGGAUGAAAUGAAGAUGACUAAUUUUGCAAAAUCUACUUUGUCAUUCUCUAAAAGCUGAAACAUACUGGGUUUUCAGUCCUGAUCCAGCUCUCCCUGGAGUGAAGAGGGGUUCAGAGAGGCUGGGACAAAACUCUCCCCUUCCGAGCCACAUCAUGAGCCGGUUCUGCACCCUCUUUGUUCCAGCUGCUGGCCUCUGAGCAGAGACACUUCAAAAGGCCUUGUAGCACACACAGGCCAGGCACAAGGACAUCUGAGCCACAGCGGUUUGCAAAGACAGCCACAAGGGAGAGGCGUGGACCUGGCCUCCUGACUGGCGCUCUGUGCAUCUGUAAGCUGUGAGCUUAGGAGAGGCCUAGGGGGAGACAAAGGCUGCUCAGGGCUGAGGUUUGAAAUGAUCCUAAUGAGGGAAAUGAGGCCCAGACACUGACAGAGGCAGUGGGGACAACAGGGAAUCGUUAGAGUCAAGGGACGUUGGGAAAUUUUAGGAUUUGGUGAUCAAUUGCCUGUAGAGUUCUCUAGUUUUCAAACACAGCUGGGUAUCAGGUUAGGCAAGGAAGAAGGUGUUGGCACUAAUGGAUGGGUUCACCUCAGCUGUGAGUUGACAGGUCCCCAGCCAGCCAAGAAGGGCCACCAAGGACUUAGAUAUUGAGCUCUCAAGGCCACUGGGAAACUCUAGGAGCUGAUAUCCAGCCCCCACAUGCCCAAGUCAUGGUCUUCAUCACACUGAACGGAGGGUAAACUGAGGCAGGGCUAGAGGACAGUUAACCACAUCAGACAAGUGAGGACGCAGGGUCUGGGGGAUGGGGGAUGGGGGAUGGAGGCUCAGCCAGGUCUACAGCAUGAGGGAGGAACCUUCUGUCAUGCUGUGCUAUAUUAAAGACACCGGAUAAAAUUAAAUGAACUGAGUUUCCAAGACCAUUAAAAAGUACUCCCCAGGGACCACCAACCGACAAGUCAAACCUCAGAGUGACG
rnacentral:lncRNA from 1 species